GAUGAACGCUGGCGGCGUGCCUAAUACAUGCAAGUCGAGCGAACAGACGAGGAGCUUGCUCCUCUGACGUUAGCGGCGGACGGGUGAGUAACACGUGGAUAACCUACCUAUAAGACUGGGAUAACUUCGGGAAACCGGAGAUAAUACCAGAUAAUAUAUUGAACCGCAUGGUUCAAUAGUUAAAGACGGUUUUGCUGUCUCUUAUAGAUGGAUCCGGGCUGCAUUAGCUAGUUGGUAAGGUAACGGCCUACCAAGGCAACGAUGCGUAGCCGACCUGAGGGGGGGAUCGGCCACACUGGAACUGAGACACGGUCCAGACUCCUACGGGAGGCAGCAGUAGGGAAUCUUGCGCAAUGGGCGAAAGCUUGACGGAGCCACACCGCGUGAGUGAAGAAGGUCUUCGGGUCGUAAAACUCUGUUGUUGGGGAAGAACAAAAGUGGGAGUAACCAUGGCCGUUUUGACGGUACCUAAACAAAAAGCACCGGCUAACUUCGUG
rnacentral:rRNA from 1 species